rnacentral:rRNA from 1 species
UACGGAGGAGGCAAGCGUUAUCCGGAAUUAUUGGGCGUAAAGCGUCCGCAGGUGGCACUUCAAGUCUGUCGUCAAAGACUGGGGCUUAACCCUGGAAAGGCGGUGGAAACUGAAGCGCUAGAGUGCGGUAGGGGUAGAGGGAAUUCCCGGUGUAGCGGUAAAAUGCGUAGAGAUCGGGAAGAACAUCGGUGGCGAAAGCGCUCUACUGGACCGCAACUGACACCCAGGGACGAAAGCUAGGGGAGCGAAUGGG